AUUAAAGAGGAACAUCAUGUAGUGUGAGGAGUCAACAUUUCACACUAGAAAGCCCUUGGUUCAAGUUUUGUCUCUGCCACCUACAGAUUUUGUAACCCUGAGGAAACUAGCUACCUCUUUAUGUACUGCCCUAUGGAGAGGCACACAUGUCAGGAAACUGAGGGAGUGCCUUCCAGUCAACAGCCAGCCAGGAACUAAGGUGCUCAGUACAGCAGCCUCCACAAAGGACUGAACAAUGCCAACAGCUAUUUGAUUGUGCUUGGAAGAUCUCCGUUUAGUUAACCCUUCAGAUGAGACCGCAGCCCUGGCCAGCAAACAAAUUGCAGCCUAUGGAAAGACCUUAAGGCAGAAGCACCCAACUGAACGACCCGAAGGCUCUGACUUACAGAAACUGUGAGCAUAUAGUGAAAUGGCCUCUAACUUAUUUUGAAUGGAUUUCUGGGAUAAAGUUCUUCAGUGAUAACAUGUUUGAAGCAGCUAUCUUAUGUGCCCAUGUUACAUGCUCAUGAUAAAGCUGCAUUUCCUGAGGGGACACCAAUGGAUACA
rnacentral:lncRNA from 1 species